AGUGGGGAAUCUUGGACAAUGGGCGCAAGCCUGAUCCAGCCAUGCCGCGUGAGUGAAGAAGGUCUUCGGAUUGUAAAGCUCUUUUGCCAGGGACGAUAAUGACGGUACCUGGAGAAUAAGCCCCGGCAAACUUCGUGCCAGCAGCCGCGGUAAUACGAAGGGGGCUAGCGUUGUUCGGAAUUACUGGGCGUAAAGCGCACGUAGGCGGGUCGUUAAGUCAGGGGUGAAAUCCCGGAGCUCAACUCCGGAACUGCCUUUGAUACUGGCGAUCUCGAGAUCGGAAGAGGUGAGUGGAAUUCCCAGUGUAGAGGUGAAAUUCGUAGAUAUUGGGAAGAACACCAGUGGCGAAGGCGGCUCACUGGUCCGAUACUGACGCUGAGGUGCGAAAGCGUGGGGAGCAAA
rnacentral:rRNA from 1 species